UACGGGGGGGGCAAGCGUUGUUCGGAAUUACUGGGCGUAAAGGGCUCGUAGGCGGCCAACUAAGUCAGACGUGAAAUCCCUCGGCUUAACCGGGGAACUGCGUCUGAUACUGGAUGGCUUGAGGUUGGGGAGAGGGAUGCGGAAUUCCAGGUGUAGCGGUAGAAAUGCGUAGAUAUCUGGAGGAACACCGGUGGCGAAGGCGGCAUCCUGGACCAAUUCUGACGCUGAGGAGCGAAAGCCAGGGGAGCAAACAGG
rnacentral:rRNA from 1 species